rnacentral:rRNA from 1 species
CGCCCGCUCAGAAACUCAAAUGAAUUGACGGGGCCCGCACAAGCGGUGGAGCAUGUGGUUUAAUUCGAUGAUACGCGAGGAACCUUACCUGGGCUCAAAUGUAUGUUGACGUAUUCUGAAAGGGAUACUUCUUCGGACAAUAUACAAGGUGCUGCAUGGUUGUCGUCAGCUCGUGCCGUGAGGUGUCGGGUUAAGUCCCAUAACGAGCGCAACCCCUAUCAUUAGUUGCCAUCAGGUCAAGCUGGGGACUCUAAUGAAACUGCCUACGCAAGUAGUGAGGAAGGUGGGGAUGACGUCAAAUCAGCACGGCCCUUACGUCCAGGGCUACACACGUGCUACAAUGGCCGAUACAGAGGGCAGCUACCUGGUGACAGGAUGCAAAUCUCCAAAGUCGGUCUCAGUUCGGAUCGGAGUCUGCAACCCGACUCCGUGAAGUUGGAUUCGCUAGUAAUCGCGCAUCAGCCAUGGCGCGGUGAAUACGUUCCCGGGCCUU